rnacentral:rRNA from 1 species
GACGGAGGAUGCAAGCGUUAUCCGGAAUGAUUGGGCGUAAAGCGUCCGCAGGUGGCAGUUCAAGUCUGCUGUCAAAGACCGGGGCUUAACUUCGGAAAGGCAGUGGAAACUGAACAGCUAGAGUAUGGUAGGGGCAGAGGGAAUUCCUGGUGUAGCGGUGAAAUUCGUAGAUAUCGGGAGGAACACCGGUGGCGAAGGCGGCGACCUGGGUAGAUACUGACGCUGAGGUGCGAAAGCGUGGGGAGCAAACAGG